rnacentral:lncRNA from 1 species
GACAGCUUGCACAAAUGGAAAAUCUACAGAAAUAUGUAAAAUACAAAGAGGUGUCAGACAGAGUUGUAUACUGUCCUCACUGUUGUUUAAUUUAUAUUUUUGUCUUAAUCAUAAAUUAAAUCAGGAAAUAAAGUAGCUUUCCGUGUUUCGCUUUUUUAUACAUUCAUUUAUUACGCCUACUCUUUGAAAGUUUAUUUUAUUGCUCCUCUUCCUCGCAAAACGUCAAUCUGGGAAAGUUGGGGCAGAACGCUUCCAA